rnacentral:rRNA from 1 species
AGUGAACGCUGGCGGUAGGCCUAACACAUGCAAGUCGAACGGCAGCACAGUAAGAGCUUGCUCUUACGGGUGGCGAGUGGCGGACGGGUGAGGAAUACAUCGGAAUCUACUUUUUCGUGGGGGAUAACGUAGGGAAACUUACGCUAAUACCGCAUACGACCUACGGGUGAAAGCAGGGGAUCUUCGGACCUUGCGCGAUUGAAUGAGCCGAUGUCGGAUUAGCUAGUUGGCGGGGUAAAGGCCCACCAAGGCGACGAUCCGUAGCUGGUCUGAGAGGAUGAUCAGCCACACUGGAACUGAGACACGGUCCAGACUCCUACGGGAGGCAGCAGGGGGGAAUAUUGGAAAAUGGGCGCAAGCCUGAUCCAGCCAUACCGCGUGGGUGAAGAAGGCCUUCGGGUUGUAAAGCCCUUUUGUUGGGAAAGAAAAGCAGCAGGUUAAUACCCCGCUGUUCUGACGGUACCAAAAGAAUAAGCACCGGCUAACUUCG